rnacentral:rRNA from 1 species
AUUGAACGCUGGCGGCAGGCCUAACACAUGCAAGUCGAGCGAGCGGCGGACGGGUGAGUAAUGUCUGGGAAACUGCCUGAUGGAGGGGGAUAACUACUGGAAACGGUCGCUAAUACCGCAUACCCUCAGAUGUGCCCAGAUGGGAUUAGCUAGUAGGUGGGGUAAUGGCUCAACUAGGCGACGAUCCCUAGCUGGUCUGAGAGGAUGACCAGCAACACGGGAACGGAGACACGGGCCAGAGUCCGACGGGAGGCAGCAGUGGGGAAUAUUGCACAAUGGGGGCAAGCCUGAUGCAGAAAGGCGGCGGGUAUGAAGAAGGCCUUCGGGUUGGAAAGUACGUUCAGCGGGGAGGCGUUACCCGCAGAAGAAGCACCGGCUAACUCCGUGCCAGCCGCCGCGGUAAUUC